rnacentral:rRNA from 1 species
UUGGGUUAAGUCCGUAACGAGCGCAACCCUGUCCUUAGUUACCAGCACGUUAUGGUGGGCGACUCUAAGGAGACUGCCGGUGACAAACCGGAGGAAGGUGGGGAUGACGUCAAGUCAUCAUGGCCCUUACGGCCUGGGCUACACACGUGCUACAAUGGUCGGUACAAAGGGUUGCCAAGCCGCGAGGUGGAGCUAAUCCCAUAAAACCGAUCGUAGUCCGGAUCGCAGUCUGCAACUCGACUGCGUGAAGUCGGAAUCGCUAGUAAUCGUGAAUCAGAAUGUCACGGUGAAUACGUUCCCGGGCCUU